CCUACGGGUGGCUGCAGUGGGGAAUAUUGGACAAUGGGCGAAAGCCUGAUCCAGCCAUGCCGCGUGUGUGAAGAAGGCCUUCGGGUUGUAAAGCACUUUCAGUGGGGAAGAAAGCCUUGGGGCUAAUACCCUCGAGGAAGGACAUCACCCACAGAAGAAGCACCGGCUAACUCCGUGCCAGCAGCCGCGGUAAUACGGAGGGUGCGAGCGUUAAUCGGAAUUACUGGGCGUAAAGCGCGCGUAGGCGGUCUGAUAAGCCGGUUGUGAAAGCCCCGGGCUCAACCUGGGAACGGCAUCCGGAACUGUCAGGCUAGAGUGCAGGAGAGGGAGGUAGAAUUCCCGGUGUAGCGGUGAAAUGCGUAGAGAUCGGGAGGAAUACCAGUGGCGAAGGCGGCCUUCUGGACUGACACUGACGCUGAGGUGCGAAAGCGUGGGUAGCAAACAGGAUUAGAUACCCCAGUAGUC
rnacentral:rRNA from 1 species